UACGUAGGGUGCAAGCGUUAAUCGGAAUUACUGGGCGUAAAGCGUACGCAGGCGGCUUUGCAAGACAGGUGUGAAAUCCCCGGGCCUAACCUGGGAACUGCAUUUGUGACUGCAUGGCUAGAGUCUGUCAGAGGGGGGUGGAAUUCCACGUGUAGCAGUGAAAUGCGUAGAGAUGUGGAGGAACACCGAUGGCGAAGGCAGCCCCCUGGGUCGACACUGACGCUCAUGCACGAAAGCGUGGGGAGCAAACAGG
rnacentral:rRNA from 1 species